rnacentral:rRNA from 1 species
GCUUACGGCCAUACCAUGCUGGCAAUACCUGAUCUCAUCUGAACUCGGAAGUAAAGCAGGGUCGGGCCUGGUUAGUACUUGGAUGGCAGACCGCCUGGCAAUACCAGGUGCUGUAAGCU